rnacentral:tRNA from 1 species
GGGCCUGUGGUCUAGUGGCUAGGAUGCCGCCUUCACAUGGCGGAGAUCGGCGGUUCAAUUCCGCCCAGGCCCA